UACCUGUCUCUGGAUACCAUGUGUGU
rnacentral:piRNA from 1 species